rnacentral:misc_RNA from 1 species
CAACCCUCGCAUGCCCCUUCGGGGGCGGCGGUGUUGGGGACCGGCCCUCCCGCCCUCCGCGGCGGCGGCCGCCCCCUAAAUGCAGGGGCGGUCCCGCCGGCGCCUCCCCCGCGUAGUAGCAUUAGCCUCGCGGACUGGGAGCGCUGGCGCGGUACCAAAGCCGUAAAACCCCCCGACUGAAGGCCCCCGGGCCGAAGA